GAAGAAGCAGAGGUGAUGAUUUCUCCUGGUUGCAAGGUGAAAGUACCAGUUUCUAAUAUCCAUGGAGGACACAGCCCUCAAAGGAUUCCAGAGCUGAAUUCAUGAAGAUGCACCAACACCAAAGAGACACUGGGAAGACACCGAAGUAUUCAGUGGCAUCAGCACUGUAGCCAAAUACCUGCCAUUAACCAUUUCAGCUGCUCUGUACUUCAACACUAAGAAUUUUUUUGACCCUACUUUCAUAAAAAUACGAGUUGAUGUUCCUUUUUACAAAGCAAAUGGGUCGCACAUUUUUUAUUUCUGUAUAUUUUGUAACUCUUUUAAUGCCAUUCCAUAAUGUAAUGUCACAAAAUGCUUUAUUACUGCUGCUAUAAUGAAGGAAGAUUUGGAAAGUUGGUAUUUCAUACUGAAACAGUAAUACCUCUUCCAGACUCAAGGGGUUUGUUGUUCUGUUUUCUCUAAUUAUUUCAGCAUUUCCUUAAUAAUCAGUUUAACUUGUAUUAUAAAGUAAAAAUUAACAUUUAAAUAUUUCAAGUUGUAUUUUUCAGAAAAUUAAU
rnacentral:lncRNA from 1 species